UGGGCCGAGCUGGAUUUGAACCAGCGUAGACAUUGUGCCAACGAAUUUAC
rnacentral:tRNA from 1 species